UACGUAGGGGGCGAGCGUUAUCCGGAUUUACUGGGUGUAAAGGGGGCGCAGACGGCGAUGCAAGCCAGGAGUGAAAGCCCGGGGCCCAACCCCGGGACUGCUCUUGGAACUGCGUGGCUGGAGUGCAGGAGGGGCAGGCGGAAUUCCUGGUGUAGCGGUGAAAUGCGUAGAUAUUAGGAAGAACACCAGUGGCGAAGGCGGCUUUCUGGACUGAAACUGACGCUGAGGCACGAAAGCGUGGGGAGCGAACAGG
rnacentral:rRNA from 1 species